AAUGCGGUUAAAUCUAUAAUUUUUUUGAUUCUAUAAAGUUUGACAAGUACAGAUGCAAAAAAAUUUCCUAUAAUCCUACCACAGAAGAGAAGCCGCUUACAUGUUACUCUUUGUUUUUAAGCUGCAUUUCUUUGCUACCAACCUGAAAGUAAACAAAACUUAAAUGUCUGUAUCAACUCCUGACUUAAUUUCCUCAGAUAAGCAAAUAAUAAUCUGAAAAAUGAAUAUCUUUAAGGGAAUGAUCAUUGUGUAAUUAAUAUGAUUAGGAAUUAAAAAAAAAAACAAAAACGUGUUUUUGAGAUGGCACUCUCUGUGUACCUUAGGCUGGCCCUGGAAUUGAGAUCCUUCUCCCUCAAGUGCUGGUUUACAGACGUGCUCCACCUUGUCUAACUCCGGGACUUGUGUGUUUUAUUUAUUAUUAUUAUUAUUCACGAGAUGGUCUCAGGCUGGCUUCAAACUCCUGGGCUGAGUGGGUCCUCCUGCCUCAGCCUCCCAAGAAGCUGGGACUACAGGUGCACACCACCAUGCCUGACUUUGCAGAACUUUCGCCUUUGCAAAGGACUUGUAAUUCAAGAAGGUUUACGAAGCAGUUAUUACCAUCAGCUUCUUAAGUUACCCUGCCAGAGAUGUAUGAGUGUGUACUGA
ensembl:lncRNA